UUGUGUACAGACCGUAUCACACUUGUCUGGCGGCGGUUGUACCCAUACGCAUAAUAUAUAUAAUUAUUAUAUUAUGUAUUACUACCGAUAAUAAUGAUGAUGACGAAAACACGGCAAGAACCCAACGGCAUAAUAUAGCUCAAAAGCACACACGACGGACUUUGCCUACGUGUGCUUUCGCGCGCGUCCGUUUCUCAUAGUCUCGCCGCCGAAAUUCCUUUGCUGCCCGGUCGUGUUAUUCGGAUUUGCGGUCGUUCGAGCUAUACAGAACUUACGACUACACAACCCUAUCGAACACCGCGUAAACCCGUACACACAGAAACGUGAUGAUGUCAUAUCGUUUUGACAGCUCGUCGUCGUGAAUUAAACGCACCAAAAUCGUAAUUUCGUUUCAAUUACAAUUUACAAUUGUUGUUAUUAUUGUACCAUUGAAUUCGUUGAAAUUCUUGAGCACAUCGUCACCAUGGCCGAGAUCAAGUACAAGUUCGAAGUCGUGAUGAUCGUCUCCGGAGCGUUCAUGUUGCUGACCAUGUACGAUCUGCCGGUGGCUAGUUACUUCAAAGUGUUUCCAACAAACUGCCAUUCAACUGCUGUUGCCUUUGGUCUUUCAAACACUUAUACCCACAUACAACGAUGACGACGGAGAUGAUGGGUCAGCGCUGUUUUGGAUCUUAGACAUUGUCGAAUAUUCUAUGUAUUUCAUAAC